CGUUCAUGGUAUUUCCGGAACCUGUAGCCGGGCUGACGGUGUGCACGGAGUCCUGAGUGUCCGCCCGAUGGAGCCCUGGGUUAGGUUUCCCCAAGAGUCAGGACCCGGCGUGUCACGUCAGCAUCCUCAUGGAGAACACCGUGUGGGCUGUGCUCUGCGCACCUGCUCGGGCACCAGCCCUGCGUCCGCUCCGGGCUCCACACAGCGAACCUGGGCUGCGGAUGCGUGUCAGCUCAACCCUCUCCUGGGACGUCUGAGCCUUCACUGCAGGGAACAGACAGGCUACCGUGCUCAGGUGCCGCUGGGACAGAGCCCUGAGGAUGCACCGUUUCCCUGCAGCCAGGGUGAAAAAUCAGAGUCUCACUGCUCCGCCCAGUGAUCCGUGUCCACGCUGGGAGAGUCUCUGGCAAGGGCAUCUGGUGAUGCAGUUAGCUGGCUGAGACCAGCUCUCGGGACACCUGCGUCUGCACCCGCGCCCGCUCCGUGACCCCCGCCCCCAGCACACACUCCCGCGGCUCCGGGAGUUCCGCUGGCACUUCCGGGGCAGGAGAG